UUUCUCCCCCUGGCUUAUUUCAUUCAGCAUGACCCCCUUCUCCUUUGGGUCCCUCCAUGUUGUUGAAGACAGCAGGAUUUCAUCUUUAUAGCUAUGUAGUACUCCAUCAUGUAUACAGAACAUGUCUCCAUCUGUCAGUUGGAAUAUCCCAGGGACUGACCACCUAGGAAGGCUGUCCAGUGCCAGCAGCUUCAAUUGUGAAUUUAAAACAAGGAAAAAGGGGAAAUACAAAACAGAAGCCUCUCAUCUUCUUGCAGAUUCACCCCAUAACUAAUUCUAGCUCUGAUUACUGAUCCUUUUCAUCCCAUUCCUUUCACUGUCCAAUCCAUGACCUUGGUGCCAUCUUGGUUGGGCGUCCAAGUUCAGAGGAGCCACAAUAAGCCAAUCUACAAGAAUGCAGCUUUGUGCUUACCAGCAGGGUACUGAAUCUUCAGCAGAGCUUGUGAGAUCAGCUUUGCAUACUAAGUCCUAUCUUGAACCCCUUUAAAACACACACUUGUUAUCGAAAAGAAAGUAAAAGAAAUAAAAUAAAAUUUAAAAAACCUAUGUCCUUGCUUCCUAUAACUGUGCUUGACAUGGGCAUUAGCCAGAAGCACCAGUACCUGGUGAGUGGACUUGGAGCU